CAACACCCUCUACCAGUGGGUGAGUUUGGAGCUCCUCUCCUGUCCCCAAACCCAGGAUGCCUCUAGUCUGAUGGGAGCUUCUGGACACCAUCCAUCCAAUGGAGGUGCCAUCUUUCUCUCCGCUCUGCUGGGGUUAGGCUUCUGUGCGCAUGAAGGUGAAGGAGCGAUGGAAUGCAGUCCUCUCCAUUGAUCCAAUUCAGUUCUUUCAGAAGAGGUGUUCAACUACUUUAUCACUCCAGGGAUAACCAUGAGAGAUGAGAGGACUCUGAAGGGCAUAAUGCCGUUGAAGUCCAUCCCUGUUGUUGCUAUGAUCAGUAACAUGAGACAUAGCAAGACAGUGUGCGCACAUUGUGGAAUCUCUGACUCCGGGACCUACGGCUUCCAUGGGAGUCGAUGGCAGUCCCGUGGACUUAGAUCUAGCCGCCAUGAGAUGUGAUUUUGCACUUGCUGUGCUCUCAGCUAGAGCCACGUUCCUCUCACACUUCACCUCAGAACUCUGACAACUGAGCCGAAAUGUGCCCAACUCCCGUGGAGGUGUAACUGCCAUAUGGUCCCGCCAGAAAGCAUGAGAACAAGCUCAGUUGUUUAGGAUGGGAAGACCCAGUUCUGCUGCUAGAGGAGGAAGGAGGGGCAGGACCCACACAGAGCAAAUAGCAAUGAGCCAUUGUCCCUAUCAGCAGGGCCUGCCCCACUCAUCGUGGUUUUAACACAAGUCAGAUCUCCAGCAUGGGCAGCAAGCCUUUAGGCUGGUUCCAAACAGUGGAAGCAAAGUGCCCAGAUCUAGGCACGAUCCACAAGAGUCCACCCGGAUUCUCCAAACACAGCACACUCCAGAGAAUUCAGUUCUAAGGCUCUAAAUUGCAUUCCUGGCCCCUCUCUAAGCCUUGAUGGAAGACUGUUGAGUUGUUGAAAACCAGGGUAUAAGAGAUUAACCUACCAAAUCCAAUCAACAAUUUGCAGUGAACACUAACCAGAUAUGUUCAUGUCUAAAUGCACAGUGUCUAUGUGGUAACCUACUUUUUCCUUUUAAAACCUAAAAAUCUGGAGUGCCGAUGUAAUUUAGGAAGAACCUGAGAAUUUCCCUUUGUGCUGUUUUGGACUUUCUGCAGAUUUCAUGAAAUGCUAGCUCUGGGAUGAUAUUUCAACUUGAAAAUAUUCUUACUAACCUUUGCCCUUAAUAUCUUAGUCUUUCCUUUAGGAUGGCUAAUUUUGUGUGUGUGAAAUUAAUUUUUGAAUAAAUUUCCAGAAGCUUUUAUGGCCCAUGAGAGAAUCUUGAGAUGCUGUACUUUGAUAUUUUCC
rnacentral:lncRNA from 1 species